rnacentral:rRNA from 1 species
AUUGAACGCUGGCGGCAGGCCUAACACAUGCAAGUCGAGCGAGCGGCGGACGGGUGAGUAAUGUCUGGGAACCUGCCUGAUGGAGGGGGAUAACUACUGGCGACGGUCGCUAAUACCGCAUACCAUACGAUGUGCCCAGAUGGGAUUAGCUAGUGGGUGGGGUAACGGCUCACCUAGGCGACGAUCCCUAGCUGGUCUGAGAGGAUGACCAGCCACACUGGAACUGAGACACGGGCCAGACUCCUACGGGAGGCAGCAGUGGGGAAGAUUGCACAAUGGGCGAAAGCCUGAUGCAGCCAUGCCGCGUGUGUGAAGAAGGCCUGCGGGUUGUAAAGCACUUUCAGCGGGGAGGCGUUACCCGAAGAAGAAGCACCGGCUAACUCCGUGCCAGCAGCCGCGGUAAUUC